GACAGAGGGUGCUAGCGUUGUUCGGAAUUACUGGGCGUAAAGGGCGCGUAGGCGGUCCGCUAAGUUCGGCGUGAAAGUCCCCUGGCUCAACUGGGGAACUGCGCUGGAUACUGGUGGACUCGAGUACCGGAGAGGAGAGUGGAAUUCCUGGUGUAGCGGUGAAAUGCGUAGAUAUCAGGAGGAACACCGGUGGCGAAGGCGGGUCUCUGGGCCGUAACUGACGCUGAGGAGCGAAAGCGUGGGGAGCGAACAGG
rnacentral:rRNA from 1 species